GACUUAGCUCAGUUGGUAGAGCACCUGACUGUUAAUCAGGUUGUCGCCGGUUCGAGCCCGGCAG
rnacentral:tRNA from 1 species